UUUACUUCCGUUCACGACAACCGACAGCCGGUUCAUAAACACAUGACAAAUGCGGUAUACAAAUAGGCCUAAUUUGUGAUAUCCAUGAGACUGGCGAGAAAAGAAAAUCAAGAUAUUCCAGAUAUUGGGAAAGAGUUGACUGUGUUCCCUAUUGAGUAAUAAACUGGACAAGUACACUUUGACAAGAUAAUCAUGUUUGACUGGAGAGAAUGGUUGGAAUACAUUUUAAAAUGGGCAGCUACAAGUCCCUGGGAAUUUGUGUUCACGAUUCUUCUUUGUUUGUCACCGUUUUUCUUCAUAAGUGCAAUUCUUGCAUGGAAACUAGCACAGGAGAUUGAGGCAAAAGAAAAGGAGAAGAAAAAGAAAGCAAAACGAGAGGCAGCCAUAAAGAAAAAACAGCAAAAAGCAGACUGAUUGUAUUACUAUGCAGCUCAUUGCAUCUAAUAGUGAACUUCAUAUAGUUAUCUAACUUAUUUUCAGUUGAAUUUUGUUUGCUUUAUUUUAUUGUUUUUCAUUCCUUAGUUGGAUGAAAUACAGAAAUUCAGAGUGUUUGAAUCAAACAUUUUUAGCAUGCUUGGAAUGCAUGGUGCAUGGAUAAAUUUGAAUGACUUUGUGAUGAUGGUGAACAUUUUAUGAUUUGACAGUUGAUAAGUGUAUCAAAUAAUCAAUAUAUUAACCACUUUUGUAUGUAAAAGAUAUAAACCAUUAUUCAUGCAUACAUGUGUCAUUGAAACAUUAUUGUCAACAUAAAAUUGUCCUCAGUUAAUUAUAUAUAUAAUGGUGUCAAGAGUUAGUCUACUAUGUAUACGCACUAUUAUUAUGAGAGUUGGUACAUUGUAUGUGUUCUGUUGUCAUAUUAUUAGUCCCCAUUUCAGUACUUUUAAAGUAAUGCCAAACAUGUAGGAAACAGAAUUUUUUCUGGUGGCUGUUAUAAUGGAUUCAUCAAGUGUACAUGCAUGGUAGGAUCUCACGGAAUAAACAGAAUGGUAGUCUCUAAAGUAGAUUAUAUUACAGACGUGUGCUUCUGAUUAGUAUUUGUAGAAAAUAAAUAUUGGCCUCUUCUCCUACUUUAUUUGUAAGAGGAGUGAAAAAAUGUAUGGUCAGACCAGGGUUCAAACCCGGGACCUCUGAACACUGGCCGGAUGUUCUACCAGUUGAUGAGCUACCUGGUCGCAGAUGAUCGACCCUGUCCAGCCAGUUCCGAUACAUAUUAACAAAGGAUUUUAAACCAAGGAACAUUACUGAAGUUUGUGUGCAUUUGAUAUUUUAGUCGGGUUGAACUUAAAUUCAAAGUGAAUCAAAGCUCAUCCCCCACUUCCCACUUUUCGAGUGUUACACCUCGUUGAUAUUAGCAGUAGGGGUUAAUAUUUUUAUUUUUACUAACCAGAAGCAGGUGCCUGUGAUUAUAUUAAUAUUAUACUGGUACAAAAGUGACUGAGGGGCUUUCAUAGAUCACUCAGUUUAUGUCUACUUUCAAAAUAGUCAGCAUAUAAUUUUAAGACAAUCAUACACUACUGAUCUACAUGUCAACUGGUUCUUUGGAAUGUAACCAUCAUCAAAAAUUUAAAAUCUUAGCCUUGACUGUUCACAACAUAUUUGGUUUCAAUCCACAUGCUUCUUAAACUGUCAAAACAAAAUAAUUAUUUUCCAGUAAGAACAUUUAGAAUUUGAUCCUUUCGGACCCUUAUCCUUUGAUUUGAUCAUGCACUUGUUUGAUUCAGUUGAACUGGCCUCUUUAACAUUCAAAACUAAGAUAUACAAAUGUAGUUAUGUAUUUAAAUUCUUUAGGUUUUACCUUAUACAUUUCAAGACUCAAGUUCUUGAUAGCUGGAUUUUUCAUUUUAGACGGAAAUGCAUUAUUGGAUUUUAGGGGGGAAUCGAAAAAGUCUUUCUAAUAUUUCCAGUUAUGUCCCCUUCACAGGUAUGGUUGUUGUCAUGAACACUUUUUCAUUUUGAAUGAAAAUGGAUUAAAUAUGAUAAAUAUGAUAAGAAACAUGAUGUUGACUUCCUAAACUGAAGAUGAAUCCAUGAUCAAACCUAGUUUUGCCCACAACACUCAUAACUUCAUAUGAUUUAUGAAUAAAGGCACAAAUUGUUCAUUCUCUAUUUUUACCAACCAAAAAUAUAAGCUUAUACUACAAUUAUUGGCCCAAGUGAAUUACUUGUGACUUGUAUAAAUGUAAGAUUUGUGAAUGACUGCUGCAUUACCUUUACAAGAACCUUGGAAUGCCUGUGUCUGAUGUUUAUGUACAUUGUGAUUUUAUUAAAAUCUGGGACUA